GUUAAUAAGAAACGUAUUUGAAGAUGAUGCAGCACUAUAGAUAUGGAAGAAAACAAGUUUUAUGUGAAUGGAGCCCAUUAAAAUGUCACUUGAAAGACACUUCAGUGGGACAAGACCAAAUGCAAUGGAAUCUGUAAGUGGAAAGUGGGGAGAGACAGAAAACUGGAUGAUAAAAUAUAACUGGACACAAGAUUCUACAACAUGAAGAUUCUAAUGAGAUAAUGGUCAACAUUAUCAGAUAUAAAGAGUAUUCUGGGCUGCACUAGGAGAAAUCUUGUCAGAAGAUUGAGGGAGUUGAUCCUUCCUCUCUGUUGAGAACUGGUGAGAGGC